AUUGAACGCUGGCGGCAUGCCUUACACAUGCAAGUCGAACGGUAACAGGUUAAGCUGACGAGUGGCGAACGGGUGAGUAAUACAUCGGAACGUGCCCAGUAGUGGGGGAUAGCCCGGCGAAAGCCGGAUUAAUACCGCAUACGACCUAAGGGUGACAGGGGGGGCUCGCAAGACCUCUCGCUAUUGGAGCGGCCGAUGUCAGAUUAGCUAGUUGGUGGGGUAAAAGCUCACCAAGGCGACGAUCUGUAGCUGGUCUGAGAGGACGACCAGCCACACUGGGACUGAGACACGGCCCAGACUCCUACGGGAGGCAGCAGUGGGGAAUUUUGGACAAUGGGCGCAAGCCUGAUCCAGCCAUGCCGCGUGCGGGAAGAAGGCCUUCGGGGUGUAAACCGCUUUUGUCAGGGAAGAAAUCCUUUGGGUUAAUACCUCGGGGGGAUGACGGUACCUGAAGAAUAAGCACCGGCUAACUACGUG
rnacentral:rRNA from 1 species